CCUACGGGAGGCAGCAGUAAGGAAUAUUGGUCAAUGGGCGGAAGCCUGAACCAGCCAUGCCGCGUGCAGGAAGACGGCCCUACGGGUUGUAAACUGCUUUUGUACGGGAAUAAACCUUGAUUCGUGAAUCAAGCUGAAUGUACUGUAAGAAUAAGGAUCGGCUAACUCCGUGCCAGCAGCCGCGGUAAUACGGAGGAUCCAAGCGUUAUCCGGAUUUAUUGGGUUUAAAGGGUGCGUAGGUGGCUUAUUAAGUCAGGGGUGAAAGACGGUAGCUUAACUAUCGCAGUGCCUUUGAUACUGAUGAGCUUGAAUGAACUAGAGGUAGGCGGAAUGUGACAAGUAGCGGUGAAAUGCAUAGAUAUGUCACAGAACACCAAUUGCGAAGGCAGCUUACUAUGGUUAGACUGACACUGAGGCACGAAAGCGUGGGGAUCAAACAGGAUUAGAUACCCUGGUAGUCCACGCCCUAAACGAUGAAUACUCGAUGUUGGCGAUAUACGGUCAGCGUCUAAGCGAAAGCGUUAAGUAUUCCACCUGGGGAGUACGCCGCAAGGGUGAAACGUUAAUGAAUUGACGG
rnacentral:rRNA from 1 species